rnacentral:piRNA from 1 species
UGACAGAACCUACAAAAGGAUCCAGGGUC